UUCUUCUUCUUCUUCUUCUUCUUCUAUUCUUCUUCGUUUUCUCUCUGGCGAUUCUGAGAUCAUUUCUGAAGCCGUGAAAUCAAAAAGAAACUUAGGAGAAUAAAUUAUCUAGUUUGAUAGACGAAGAAGGGGUGAUUGUUCUGUGAAUUUUGAAGAAGAAGAUGGUUUUGUUAAUGAACCGAAAACAGUUACUCCUUAUUAACAAUGAUCGAUUUAAAGGAUGAUCCGGUGGAUUGAACAUCUCGAGGUAGGCGAGGCUUGUCAUCGAAAGAGUGACAGAUCAAGAUGUAUACGUGGCGAUGAAAGCUUAGAGGAGUUGGUUUCGUUAGUUGGUUAGCUUCCGCUAUGUUUAUUCUGUGUUUAUAUUCUAUUUGUAAACCAACUGAUUAUCGAAUAUGUAUCAUUUGAGAGGAGUUCUUAUAUUUAUUUCAGAGAGGGUUUAGAUUUGGGUCAAUCUUUGUUUAGAACUUCUUUCUUAAUGUUUAAAUAAAUGUUUUAGAUCGUAGUGCCUCAGUUUAUGGUUAAUCUCUUGGAUUAGUCAGCUGCUAGCUUUGAGGGCGCUACAGUAAUCAAAAGCAAAUACUACAUCGUCUAAAACGGGGGUAUAUUUAGUCAAA